UACGUAGGGUGCAAGCGUUACUCGGAAUUACUGGGCGUAAAGCGUGCGCAGGCGGCUUUGCAAGACAGAUGUGAAAUCCCCGGGCUUAACCUGGGAACUGCAUUUGUGACUGCAUGGCUGGAGUGCGGCAGAGGGGGAUGGAAUUCCGCGUGUAGCAGUGAAAUGCUUAGAUAUGCGGAGGAACACCGAUGGCGAAGGCAAUCCCCUGGGCCUGCACUGACGCUCAUGCACGAAAGCGUGGGGAGCAAACAGG
rnacentral:rRNA from 1 species